rnacentral:lncRNA from 1 species
CGCGAGACAGCGCGAGCCUCCGAGAAAGCGCGAGACACGCCGGCGCGUGCAGCUGGGCGGCCGCCGCUUUGCCCUGGUUGGAGCCCCGCGCCGCCCGAAGCCAGCCCGCCAGCCCGCGAACCAGCGAGCGCCCUGUUAUUUAUGUGGCGGCCGCAUCCGCUGGCUGCGGGUUCCUCUGCCCCCCACUCGCGGCCGCGGCUGCCGGGACUCGCGCGUGGGUGUGUUAUCUGGGGGCUUCCGCCGGGGCGCCACGGGUGCCACCUCCUGGGACGCUGCCCACCGCGUCCUUGGUCGCGGCCUAUGCUAAUGUGAUGCUGAGAUUGAAUUUACCUAGGAUUCUAUUUCAAGAUUGACUCUAAAGUCCUGUGGACAAUUUGGAAGAAAUACG